AACAAAAGAAGGUUGCUUUUGUUUUCCCCCAAAAUAUUUUCUCUCCCUUUUGCUCUGCAAUGGCAGAGGACGAGUUUUUUCCUUUUCUCCAUUUUGAGGAUCGCUUCGAUCACCAUUUUUGCGAGCAUGGUCUUGUAAGGUCAUUUAGAGUAAACAUUUAUGGAGAAUGGUUGAGAAAUCCCAAGGUUUUGACCAAAGAUUUUGAAUUUUAUUCUCUCUUUUUUCGCAAUCCGACAGAGCAAGAUUUAAAGGCGAUCGAAUCCAUAGUUGCUGACGUUUGAAAGUAGAUCUGAAACCUUCAAGGCUCUAGUUCAUUGCUCGUAAAUAGGUAUAGACGCACAUUUUGGAGAUCUGCUAGCUUAGAAUUCCACUCAGCCAGUUUGGAAGAAGCUCCAUUAUAUCAGAGCUAAGUUUGGGAGUACUGAACCUAUGAUGUAUAUGUUUGUUUAUUCUUGGGUACGGCGGGGGCCCUGUCCCGCCUUAUGUUGUUGUUACUAUUCUUAGAGGUCUGUAG